rnacentral:tRNA from 1 species
AAGGGUAUAGCUCAGUGGUAAGCACAUACCUAUCAUGCAUGAUGUCCUGGGUUCAAUCCCCAGUACCUCCA